rnacentral:lncRNA from 1 species
AAUGCAACGUAAAUGGGUUUUCGUGUGUAAACGUAUUUUUCAUUCAUAAUCUGUCUCAUGACAUUAUACCCUGCUAGCUCAGCCAUUUACGUUACUGGUAGAGAGGGUUCGGCCUGUGCUUUCGCUCCAGGACUUCUGACAGCAUACUGACAAUACAACGAAACAGUAAAUUCAAUAAAUGACAGGUAUAAGAAACCUAAAAAUGACCAGUGAUGACGAUUUGCCAAGCAAUGUAUUUGCUCAUAGAACAAAUGACAAAAAUUCAUAAAACAGUUUCAUAUUUAAUAGACAAAGACAACAUAAAUACAUAAAUCAUAUCGCGGUAUCUCCAGGGCAAAAAUAUCAAUUUAGAAUUUCAAUACACUUUCGAACUUCCCCUUUUUGGACAAACAAUGCGGUGAAAAAUACCCAUACAAGUUAACCAUUUCAAAGAAGCGUUUGGCCUUAGUGCUAUCUAAUUGAAUAAAAUAAAAUGAUACUAGAAUUUUGAAGUGUCCGUUUACUUAAAAUAUUGAGAGCUGUACACUAUUCGUUUUUAACUAAAUUCAAUCAAUCAAGUUGUGACGUCAACCUUCCGAGACAAAAUAAUUAUACCCACUGGUUCCCACCGACUUUGUUAGACUAGAACAUGAAUCUCAUUAUUCUAUGACUAGGGAACAAAAAUCGAUCCAGUAAAAAAAAACCAUCGCAUUUCUCUAUACCUGUUUAAUUUUCAAUCCAACCAGAGCAAUGUCUGAAAAACGUUUUUCAAUAAAAUUGACCAGUUCAAGAUCCAAAACCAAAACAUGCGAUAAUACAAAAUUCUAUUUCAGAGUAAUUAGGCACGAACAAUCCCGUAGAUUGACGACCGUUACUCCAAAAUAUCCCUCGGAUUAACCAUCUGUCUUAAAUAUCGCUAUCAAAAUGAAACCCAUCUCUUUAUAAACCCGAAAUCAUAAAAUAUCAAGCUAGUGUACAAUUCCCUCUAUUUAUUCUGGAAC